UGCAUCGGCCCCGCUCAGCAUCCAUGCCCGGGUCUCCAGCGCUAUCGCCGCCGCCUGGCUGAAUGUCUGCUCAGAAGUGCCUGGCUUGGGUGUAAAGAGCAGGCCCUCGGGAAUCAGCUUGUACACUUGGUUUUGCAUAGUCACAUCUACCCAGAUUUGAAACGACUCCUGGGUAGCUGUGGCAUGAAAACUGGGCCGUAGACACGCAGCCAGCCUGUUUCAGUCAAUUUAGUGAUCAUGGCCUUGCAUGAAUUUGAAAGGCAAAUGCAUCAGCUUAAUGUUGCUUUGGUAUGUUGUCUGACAGCCUGAAGUUCAGCCACCAGCAGCACCAACUCUGAAGACAUCUGGGAAUCUUUGCAAGUGCCCCCUUGUUUCACACUGCACCCCUCCAAAGAGAACUUGCUUUUGCAUGACAGCCGCCCAUGACACAAAUGUGUGCAUUCUGGAUCUAUUUAAUUUUAAUGCUGCCUUGGGCUCCUGGAAAGGGGGAAAAAAGGUGGCAUAGAGAUGUAAUAAAAUGAUAAUUCUCAUCCAGCUCCCAAAACACUAGGAGUGGAAUGGAUUGAGAAUGACUGUGAACAUA